CUUGGCACUGAACAUUGACCCUACAUGUGUAGGAUAGGUGGGAGGCUUUGAAGCACGUACGCCAGUAUGUGUGGAGCCGUCCUUGAAAUACCACCCUUGUAGUGUUGAUGUUCUAACGUCGACCCCUUAUCGGGGUUACGGACAGUGCCUGGUGGGUAGUUUGACUGGGGCGGUCUCCUCCCAAAGAGUAACGGAGGAGCACGAAGGUGGGCUAAUCACGGUUGGACAUCGUG
rnacentral:rRNA from 1 species